rnacentral:rRNA from 1 species
UAGCGGCAGGCCUAAUACAUGCAAGUCGGACGGGAUAGAGGAGCUUGCUYCUCUUGAGAGUGGCGCACGGGUGCGUAACACGUAUGUAACCUACCUUAGUCAGGGGGAUAGCCUCUCGAAAGAGAGAUUAAGACCGCAUAACAUCAUUAAGUGGCAUCGCUUGAUGAUCAAAUAUUUAUAGGACUAAGAUGGGCAUGCGCAACAUUAGCUAGUUGGUGUGGUAACGGCAUACCAAGGCAACGAUGUUUAGGGGAUCUGAGAGGAUGACCCCCCACACUGGUACUGAGACACGGACCAGACUCCUACGGGAGGCAGCAGUAAGGAAUAUUGGUCAAUGGACGGAAGUCUGAACCAGCCAUGCCGCGUGCAGGAAGACGGCCCUACGGGUUGUAAACUGCUUUUGCAGGGGAAUAAACCUCAUUACGUGUAAUGAGUUGAAUGUACUCUGAGAAUAAGGAUCGGCUAACUCCGUGCCAGCAGCCGCGGUAAUACGGAGGAUCCAAGCGUUAUCCGGAUUUAUUGGGUUUAAAGGGUGCGUAGGCGGCUUUUUAAGUCAGGGGUGAAAGACGGUAGCUUAACUAUCGCAGUGCCCUUGAUACUGAAGAGCUUGAAUGUAGUUGAGGUAGGCGGAAUGUGACAAGUAGCGGUGAAAUGCAUAGAUAUGUCACAGAACACCAAUUGCGAAGGCAGCUUACUAAGCUAUGAUUGACGCUGAGGCACGAAAGCGUGGGGAUCAAACAGGAUUAGAUACCCUGGUAGUCCACGCCCUAAACGAUGAACACUCGAUGUUGGCGAUAUACAGUCAGCGUCUAACCGAAAGCGUUAAGUGUUCCACCUGGGGAGUACGCCC